rnacentral:rRNA from 1 species
UAAGGAAUAUUGGUCAAUGGGCGGAAGCCUGAACCAGCCAUGCCGCGUGCAGGAAGACGGCCCUAUGGGUUGUAAACUGCUUUUGUAUGGGAGCAAUAAGGUCUAUGCGUAGACUGAUGAGAGUACCAUACGAAUAAGCAUCGGCUAACUCCGUGCCAGCAGCCGCGGUAAUACGGGGGAUGCAAGCGUUAUCCGGAUUUAUUGGGUUUAAAGGGUGCGUAGGCGGUUUGAUAAGUCAGCGGUGAAAUAUUUCAGCUUAACUGAAAGGGUGCCGUUGAUACUGUCAGGCUUGAAUAUGGUUGCUGUGGGUGGAAUGUGUGGUGUAGCGGUGAAAUGCUUAGAUAUCACACAGAAUAUCGAUUGCGAAGGCAGCUCACAAAGCCAUUAUUGACGCUGAUGCACGAAAGUGUGGGGAUCAAACA